rnacentral:rRNA from 1 species
AUUCGAUUAGAGUUUGAUCCUGGCUCAGAUUGAACGCUGGCGGCAGGCUUAACACAUGCAAGUCGAGCGGUAGCACAGGGGAGCUUGCUCCCCGGGUGACGAGCGGCGGACGGGUGAGUAAUGUCUGGGAAACUGCCUGAUGGAGGGGGAUAACUACUGGAAACGGUAGCUAAUACCGCAUAACGUCGCAAGACCAAAGAGGGGGACCUUCGGGCCUCUUGCCAUCAGAUGUGCCCAGAUGGGAUUAGCUAGUAGGUGGGGUAAUGGCUCACCUAGGCGACGAUCCCUAGCUGGUCUGAGAGGAUGACCAGCCACACUGGAACUGAGACACGGUCCAGACUCCUACGGGAGGCAGCAGUGGGGAAUAUUGCACAAUGGGCGCAAGCCUGAUGCAGCCAUGCCGCGUGUGUGAAGAAGGCCUUCGGGUUGUAAAGCACUUUCAGCGAGGAGGAAGGUGGUGAACUUAAUACGUUCAUCAAUUGACGUUACUCGCAGAAGAAGCACCGGCUAACUCCGUGCCAGCAGCCGCGGUAAUACGGAGGGUGCAAGCGUUAAUCGGAAUUACUGGGCGUAAAGCGCACGCAGGCGGUUUGUUAAGUCAGAUGUGAAAUCCCCGGGCUCAACCUGGGAACUGCAUUUGAAACUGGCAAGCUAGAGUCUCGUAGAGGGGGGUAGAAUUCCAGGUGUAGCGGUGAAAUGCNUAAAGAUCUCGGAGAAUACCGGUGGCGAAGGCGGCCCCCUGGACNAANACUGACGCUUCAGUGCGAAAACCUUGGGAGCCAACAGGAUUUAAUACCCUGGUAGUCCACGCUGAAAACCA